AGUGAACGCUGGCGGCGUGCUUAACACAUGCAAGUCGGACGAGAAACGGAUUUAGCUUGCUAAAUUGCAGUCUAAGUGGCGCACGGGUGAGUAAUGUAUAGGUAAUAUGCCUCUUACUAAGGGAUAACAAUUGGAAACGAUUGCUAAUACCUUAUAUGCCUUUAAUACGAAAGUAUGCAAGGGAAAGAUUUAUUGGUAAGAGAUUAGCCUGUAUGGUAUCAGCUUGUUGGUGAGGUAAUGGCUCACCAAGGCUAUGACGCCUAACUGGUUUGAGAGGAUGAUCAGUCACACUGGAACUGAGACACGGUCCAGACUGCUACGGGAGGCAGCAGUGGGGAAUAUUGCACAAUGGACGAGAGUCUGAUGCAGCAACGCCGCGUGGAGGAUGACACAUUUCGGUGCGUAAACUCCUUUUAUAUAGGAAGAUAAUGACGGUACUAUAUGAAUAAGCACCGGCUAACUCCGUGCCAGCAGCCGCAGUAA
rnacentral:rRNA from 1 species